UCUCAGCGUCAUCGAAGAUUUGGACCAUCGGCGUCGAGGCCGCGGCGGCCAUUUGGCCGAUAUUUUAUUCCACACGUAAUUGAGUCAUUCCAAUAUUAUCAUAACAAAGAGAAAUGACAAUAAUUUUCUAAAAAAAUUGUAUUUUAUUCAAAAUCCACACCGGCCCUUGAAACUUAACCACCCUUUAUUUUUAUAAUGAGUCAAUUUUUGAACCAGAUCAUCUAAAAGAAACUAUUUCUAUGAGCGUUUGCUCCUUAUUGUAAAUAGAUGGUAUACGCGAGAAAAAAGUUUGAGAACCUGUGGUAUGGAGAUCACAUAAAAUUAAAAACAAAGUCAAGUCGGCUGCCCUACUGGCGCUACCUUAUUGAUGGAUCUCAAUUCAAGGCAUCAAAACGGAAGAAAAAACAAAUCUGCUGUCCUAGUAACAUCGCCUUGUAUGAAUUCGCCGUGAAGAGAUCCCUAGGAAUGGGAAUAUUUGAGCAAAUAAAUUAAAAAUACUCUCAUUGGAAAGUACUGCCAUUUGCAACUAAUUUAGGUUAUACCUGGAAUAGUUUACCUUGAAUAACGUUUGCCGGCAGUGGAGCAAAAUUGUUUAAAAACAACAAUAACUCAAUGUGUUGCUAAAUGUGGGAGAACAAAAACAUUAGAACCGUAAAUAUGGAUCGCAAGAGCAACGGCAAAUGCAGUUCAAUGACAUUAACUCACUUUAAGUGCAGAGGAAUCUAGCUGGACUUGACGACAAAACAAAAAGUUCUUUAAACUAGUAAAUUAUUUGAAAUUGGCGACACGAGUUUGCAACCGUGAUUUGGUACAAGUGAUGAAAUUUCUUACUAAAAUUAAACAAGACAAAAAUGUUUUCAUUAAGAAAUUUGAAAUUAUUAAAAUUAUUUAAAUAUAGUCAAUAAUAAAAAUUGUGUUUUGCUUCGAAGCUAAUGGUGUGGAGGUUGAUACAACGAUUGGAGCGUGUGUACUUUGCAUUAGUAAAUAGGUAUCAUAUGUAUACCUGUAUGUUUAGUACCUGCUUAGUUGAUAACUAAGUCAUAGAGAAUUAGCUGCGAAACUCGUUUUUUCGUGAGAGCUUGAUAGCUUUCGUCAAUGAUGCCACAUCGAAGAAACAUUAAUUGGGUACUUUUUAAACUAAAAUUGGAAAUUUUGCAGUUUCUACACCACCUUUGAGGUAUGCAAACGGCACGUAACCGAAGUUAGUAUUGGGCCUCUAUGGCCCACGUAAAUAUGAAUAUAAAACACAAUUUAAAACAAAAUAAACACAAUCAAUGUAAAAUAUGAAAUGAGCAAAAAAAUGUAAAAUAAGAUUUAAAGAAAAUUAUAUUAUUAGACACUAUAAGAUAAAAAAAAUGAAGGUAAAAGACAAAUUGUAAAUAAAUGUAGAAAAUAUAGCAAUUUUUGCAUAUAACUGCAAAACAAAAAAAUGAAAAUAACGAUUCACAAAGACAAAAAUUCAUUUUUAUAACUUAAAAAAUAGUUAGCAAAAGUAUGUUAGCAAAAUAUCACAAAUAUACUUGCAUAUUUACAAAAAAUCCAACAAUCAGCUUUCAAUACCAAUAGCAACAAGUAUGUCAAUUUUUAACGCACUAACUUUAAUAUAUACCUUUUUCGUUUUUAUUUCCCCCUCCCAUUUAACUAUAAAUUCUUCAAAAUAUGCAACUCGCGCCGUUAACGUAAAAACGAACUAUCUUCGUCAGUGCGCCCUACUUCUGGCAACUCGCCAUUUAACCUAUUCGCUGUUCAUUUGCUCAAUAUUGAAACGAGUCAAUGGGCGCGCUCUCGCAUAAAAUGAGAGAGUUACAUGCAUACCUACUUAUCUAUGACUAAGUUUUAAACCGACUAGUGAGAAUCGGACUUGCAAUUCGUCUCGCUAAAUUCUGGCCGAAUUGUAGAACAAUAGAAAAGAUUGAACGCUUAAAUCCUGUUACCUGUCGUUCAAUAUCGCAUACUUAGUUAAAAGCUUUACCUGGAUUUGCGAGCGGGGACAAUUCUGGGAAGGAAGAAAACUGCAUUAAGGAAUUUUCGAGACCUCAUGUUUGACAUACAUACAUACCUACAUAUGUGCUUAUACAUACAUAUGUAUGUAUACUUAUAGUAUAUUAUAUAGUAUAUAAUGCAAUCACGCAUUCAAUUCAUAUUGAUUUGA